rnacentral:misc_RNA from 1 species
GAUGAAGAACGUAGCGAAAUGCGAUACUUGGUGUGAAUUGCAGAAUCCCGUGAACCAUCGAGUCUUUGAACGCAAGUUGCGCCCGAAGCCAUCAGGUUGAGGGCACGUCUGCCUGGGCGUCACAUAUCGUUGCCCAAUGCCUAUUGCAGUGCAAUAGGAAUUUCUAGGGCGAAUGAUGGCUUCCCGUGAGCGUUGUUGCCUCGCGGUUGGUUGAAAAUCGAGUCCUUGGUAGGGUGUGCCAUGGUAGAUGGUGGUCGAGUUAGAACGAUACCGAUCAUGUGCAUGCUCCCCAAAAUAUGGCCUCUAUGACCCACACGCGUCUUUUGACGCUCAUGACGAGACCUCAGGUCAGGCGGGGCUACCCGCUGAAUUUAAGCAUAUCAAUAAGCGGAGUA